AUACGUAGGUGGCAAGCGUUGUCCGGAAUUACUGGGUGUAAAGGGAGCGUAGGCGGGAUUGCAAGUUGAAUGUUUAAACUACCGGCUCAACCGGUAGUCGCGUUCAAAACUGCAGUUCUUGAGUGAAGUAGAGGCAGGCGGAAUUCCUAGUGUAGCGGUGAAAUGCGUAGAUAUUAGGAGGAACACCAGUGGCGAAGGCGGCCUGCUGGGCUUUAACUGACGCUGAGGCUCGAAAGCGUGGGGAGCAAACAGGAUUAGAUACCCUGGUAGUCCACGCUGUAAACGAUGAUUACUAGGUGUGGGGGGACUGACCCCUUCCGUGCCGGAGUUAACACAAUAAGUAAUCCACCUGGGGAGUACGACCGCAAGGUUGAA
rnacentral:rRNA from 1 species